CCGUAACAAAAGGAUUGCGUUGAUAGUGGUAUCCUGAGUACCGCGAGGUCGGAGACGCCUUGUGGGAAUCUGCCGGCACCAUCCGGUAAGGCUAAAUACUCUCAAGAGACCGAUAGUGAACCAGUACUGUGAAGGAAAGGUGAAAAGAAACCGCGAACAGCGGAGUGAAAUAGACCCUGAAACCAUGCGCUUACAAGCGGUCGGAGUCCUUCGGGAUGACGGCGUGCCUUUUGCAUAAUGAGCCUACGAGUUACUCCUCACUGGCGAGGUUAACCCCGUAAACGGGGGGAGCCGCAGCGAAAGCAAGUCUGAAUAGGGCGUAUAGUCAGUGGGGGUAGACGCGAAACCUUGUGAUCUACCCAUGACCAGGAUGAAGUGGCGGUAACACGCCAUGGAGGUCCGAACUGGUGGGCGUUGAAAAGCCCUCGGAUGAGUUGUGGGUAGGGGUGAAAGGCUAAUCAAACUGGGAAAUAGCUCGUACUCCCCGAAAUGUUUUUAGGAACAGCCUCGUGGUAAAGUGUCGCAGAG
rnacentral:rRNA from 1 species